rnacentral:rRNA from 1 species
GACGAACGCUGGCGGCGUGCUUAACACAUGCAAGUCGAACGGAAAGGCCCUGCUUUUGUGGGGUGCUCGAGUGGCGAACGGGUGAGUAACACGUGAGUAACCUGCCCUUGACUUUGGGAUAACUUCAGGAAACUGGGGCUAAUACCGGAUAGGAGCUCUUGCUGCAUGGUGGGGGUUGGAAAGUUUCGGCGGUUGGGGAUGGACUCGCGGCUUAUCAGCUUGUUGGUGGGGUAGUGGCUUACCAAGGCUUUGAAGGGUAGCCGGCCUGAGAGGGUGACCGGCCACAUUGGGACUGAGAUACGGCCCAGACUCCUACGGGAGGCAGCAGUGGGGAAUAUUGCACAAUGGGCGGAAGCCUGAUGCAGCAACGCCGCGUGCGGGAUGACGGCCUUCGGGUUGUAAACCGCUUUCGCCUGUGACGAAGCGUGAGUGACGGUAAUGGGUAAAGAAGCACCGGCUAACUACGUG